CCUACGGGUGGCAGCAGUGGGGAAUCUUCCGCAAUGGGCGAAAGCCUGACGGAGCAAUGCCGCGUGAGUGAAGAAGGCCUUCGGGUUGUAAAACUCUGUCCUUAUCGAAGAGAGGUAGGUAUGUGAAUAAUGUACCUAUAGGACGGUAGAUAAGGAGGAAGCCCCGGCUAACUACGUGCCAGCAGCCGCGGUAAUACGUAGGGGGCGAGCGUUGUCCGGAAUCACUGGGCGUAAAGGGCGCGUAGGCGGUUUAAUAAGUCAGUGGUGAAAACUGAGGGCUCAACCCUCAGCCUGCCACUGAUACUGUUAGACUUGAGUAUGGAAGAGGAGAAUGGAAUUCCUAGUGUAGCGGUGAAAUGCGUAGAUAUUAGGAGGAACACCAGUGGCGAAGGCGAUUCUCUGGGCCAAGACUGACGCUGAGGCGCGAAAGCGUGGGGAGC
rnacentral:rRNA from 1 species